rnacentral:tRNA from 1 species
GAGAUAUUAGUAAAAUAUUACAUAACUUUGUCAAAGUUAAGUUACAAGUGAAAACCUUGUGUAUCUCU